UACGGAGGGAGCUAGCGUUAAUCGGAAUUACUGGGCGUAAAGCGUGCGCAGGCGGUUUUGUAAGUCUGACGUGAAAGCCCCGGGCUCAACCUGGGAAUUGCGUUGGAGACUGCAAGGCUUGAAUCUGGCAGAGGGGGGUAGAAUUCCACGUGUAGCAGUGAAAUGCGUAGAGAUGUGGAGGAACACCGAUGGCGAAGGCAGCCCCCUGGGUCAAGAUUGACGCUCAUGCACGAAAGCGUGGGGAGCAAACAGG
rnacentral:rRNA from 1 species